rnacentral:rRNA from 1 species
UACGGAGGAUGCGAGCGUUAUCCGGAUUUAUUGGGUUUAAAGGGUGCGCAGGCGGCCUUUCAGGCCGGCGGUAAAAUUGCGGGGCUCAACCCCGUAUAGCCGUCGGAACCGGAGGGCUGGAGUGGGCGAGAGGUACGCGGAACGCGUGGUGUAGCGGUGAAAUGCAUAGAUAUCACGCAGAACCCCGAUUGCGAAGGCAGCGUACCGGCGCCCUACUGACGCUGAGGCACGAAAGCGCGGGGAUCGAACAGG